AAUAAGGGGUGCUACGUCAGUGGCUGAGAACAAACCCUUUGAACCUGAUUGGGGUAAUGCCCACGGAGGAAUAAUUU
rnacentral:ncRNA from 1 species